UCCUCCCAACUUGAAACUCCCUGUUAAACACCCACUCCCGAGCCCCUGGAGCUCCCAUUGUACCCUCUGGCUCCAUGAGCGUGCCUCCUCUAGGGACCUCACAGGAGCAGAAUCCUACGGGAUUUGUCGUUUGCGACGGCUUAUUUCACUCAGCGUAGUAUUCUCAAAGUCCAUCCACGGUCUAGCAUGUAUCAGCAUUUUAUUUUUAUUUUUAUUUUUAUUUUUUGUAAAGACAGGGUCUUGGUUAUGUUGCCCAGGCUGGCCUCAAGCUCCGGAGCUCAAGCAAUCCUCCCGCCUCAGCCUCUUGAGUAGCUGGAACUACAGGCGCUAGCCACCACACCAGCUAAUUUUUGUAUUUUUUUGUAGAAAUGGUCUCCCCAUGUUGUCCAGGCUGGUCUCAAACUCCUAGGCUCAAGCGAUUCACUGGCUUUGGCCUCCCAAAGUGCUGGGAUUACAGGCGUGAGCUACCGCACCCGGCCGCUUCCUCUUUCCUACCAGUUCGCCGGCGUCCACGUGUGGCUGUUGUGUCAUUUUUUUCAUUUGCUGAACCAUUGGGACUUCAGCUGCAGGUGGCAGGAGGCUCCAUCCCCAAGUGUCUCCACGGAUAAGGACAGGCACCAUCCAGCCCACAACCCCUCCGCACCCCUAAUCAGUGUGACAUGACGAGACACAAUCACAGCUUCAAAUCACGUCCUUGCUGAACUCACAAGAGGACAAUUUAGGCAGGAACCGCACACUGCUAUGACAUAUCCACCCCACCGUGCUUUCUCGAGGAGUGAUGUCCCAUGCCCCCUGCUGAGCAGCCGUGUACAGUGGCCACUUUCCCUGGUAGUAGGUGACACAUCUACAAGGUGACCCCAGCAGUCUUCAGCCCUAGAGUCUGACUGCCCUGGUCCAAGACAUCCCUGCCUUGCUGGCCUCCUGGGGCCCAUGCACCCUGUUGACAUUCCCCUCUCCACUGCCCUCCACUCAAAGCACCAAAGAAGACUUACUCAAUGUGUCUUUAUGGUGCAGAGUCCCAGCAAGCAGAGGUCUUUGUGUAUCUGUUGAAUAAAAAAAUUCCUCGUGAUGCGUAGUAACGUCAGUGAGGAAGACUGCA